UGUAGGUUAGGGGUUGUAGGUGAACAACAGACUGUAGGUUAGGGGUUGUAGGUGAACAACAGACUGUAGGUAUCUGUAGGUUAGGGGUUGUAGGUGAACAACAGACUGUAGGUUAGGGGUUGUAGGUGAACAACAGACUGUAGGUAUCUGUAGGUUAGGGGUUGUAGGUGAACAACAGACUGUAGGUUAGGGGUUGUAGGUGAACAACAGACUGUAGGUAUCUGUAGGUUAGGGGUUGUAGGUGAACAACAGACUGUAGGUAUCUGUAGGUUAGGGGUUGUAGGUGAACAACAGACUGUAGGUAUCUGUAGGUUAGGGGUUGUAGGUGAACAACAGACUGUAGGUUAGGGGUUGUAGGUGAACAACAGACUGUAGGUAUCUGUAGGUUAGGGGUUGUAGGUGAACAACAGACUGUAGGUUAGGGGUUGUAGGUGAACAACAGACUGUAGGUAUCUGUAGGUUAGGGGUUGUAGGUGAACAACAGACUGUAGGUAUCUGUAGGUUAGGGGUUGUAGGUGAACAACAGACUGUAGGUAUCUGUAGGUUAGAGGUUGUAGGUGAACAACAGACUGUAGGUAUCUGUAGGUUAGGGGUUGUAGGUGAACAACAGACUGUAGGUUAGGGGUUGUAGGUGAACAACAGACUGUAGGUUAGGGGUUGUAGGUGAACAACAGACUGUAGGUUAGGGGUUGUAGGUGAACAACAGACUGUAGGUUAGGGGUUGUAGGUGAACAACAGACUGUAGGUUAGGGGUUGUAGGUGAACAACAGACUGUAGGUUAGGGGUUGUAGGUGAACAACAGACUGUAGGUAUCUGUAGGUUAGGGGUUGUAGGUGAACAACAGACUGUAGGUUAGGGGUUGUAGGUGAACAACAGACUGUAGGUAUCUGUAGGUUAGGGGUUGUAGGUGAACAACAGACUGUAGGUAUCUGUAGGUUAGGGGUUGUAGGUGAACAACAGACUGUAGGUUAGGGGUUGUAGGUGAACAACAGACUGUAGGUAUCUGUAGGUUAGGGGUUGUAGGUGAACAACAGACUGUAGGUAUCUGUAGGUUAGGGGUUGUAGGUGAACAACAGACUGUAGGUUAGGGGUUGUAGGUGAACAACAGACUGUAGGUAUCUGUAGGUUAGGGGUUGUAGGUGAACAACAGACUGUAGGUUAGGGGUUGUAGGUGAACAACAGACUGUAGGUUAGGGGUUGUAGGUGAACAACAGACUGUAGGUUAGGGGUUGUAGGUGAACAACAGACUGUAGGUAUCUGUAGGUUAGGGGUUGUAGGUGAACAACAGACUGUAGGUAUCUGUAGGUUAGGGGUUGUAGGUGAACAACAGACUGUAGGUUAGGGGUUGUAGGUGAACAACAGACUGUAGGUAUCUGUAGGUUAGGGGUUGUAGGUGAACAACAGACUGUAGGUAUCUGUAGGUUAGGGGUUGUAGGUGAACAACAGACUGUAGGUUAGGGGUUGUAGGUGAACAACAGACUGUAGGUAUCUGUAGGUUAGGGGUUGUAGGUGAACAACAGACUGUAGGUAUCUGUAGGUUAGGGGUUGUAGGUGAACAACAGACUGUAGGUUAGGGGUUGUAGGUGAACAACAGACUGUAGGUAUCUGUAGGUUAGGGGUUGUAGGUGAACAACAGACUGUAGGUAUCUGUAGGUUAGGGGUUGUAGGUGAACAACAGACUGUAGGUUAGGGGUUGUAGGUGAACAACAGACUGUAGGUAUCUGUAGGUUAGGGGUUGUAGGUGAACAACAGACUGUAGGUUAGGGGUUGUAGGUGAACAACAGACUGUAGGUAUCUGUAGGUUAGGGGUUGUAGGUGAACAACAGACUGUAGGUAUCUGUAGGUUAGGGGUUGUAGGUGAACAACAGACUGUAGGUUAGGGGUUGUAGGUGAACAACAGACUGUAGGUAUCUGUAGGUUAGGGGUUGUAGGUGAACAACAGACUGUAGGUAUCUGUAGGUUAGGGGUUGUAGGUGAACAACAGACUGUAGGUUAGGGGUUGUAGGUGAACAACAGACUGUAGGUAUCUGUAGGUUAGGGGUUGUAGGUGAACAACAGACUGUAGGUAUCUGUAGGUUAGGGGUUGUAGGUGAACAACAGACUGUAGGUAUCUGUAGGUUAGGGGUUGUAGGUGAACAACAGACUGUAGGUAUCUGUAGGUUAGGGGUUGUAGGUGAACAACAGACUGUAGGUAUCUGUAGGUUAGGGGUUGUAGGUGAACAACAGACUGUAGGUUAGGGGUUGUAGGUGAACAACAGACUGUAGGUAUCUGUAGGUUAGGGGUUGUAGGUGAACAACAGACUGUAGGUAUCUGUAGGUUAGGGGUUGUAGGUGAACAACAGACUGUAGGUAUCUGUAGGUUAGGGGUUGUAGGUGAACAACAGACAACUAGUUGUUCUGUACGGAAACCUCAAUGGUAGAAAAGACCUUGGUCUCUGUGUGUAAACAAGCAACUAAAGUUGAGGGUCAUAGAUGAACAAUCGGUACCGACCAAUUUAACAGUGAGGUCCUUUUUUUAAAGGAGAACCAGACACAAGGUUUGGCUGCGACAUUUUGUUUGUAAAAGAUAAAUAAAAUAGUUCUCUAGUUCUAUAAUGUAGUAUUUGAUGUGUCCUUGCUUCCCCCCCCCCCCCCCC